CACAACUUCCAGUGUAGUCGGUUUGUUCCUGUUGAUACCGAACAGGAAACCGUACACCUGAAAGCAUGAAACACCUUUAAGCGCUGCUGAGGCUGUAAAGCACAAAGACACUGUUUAUGUCGCAGAUACCUUAUAACUCUUCGGUUAAACUGCGAUGGCAAUGAUGGCAAUCGAUGAAAUGUACAUAGUUAUUUACAGCACAUGAAACUCCCUGUGGACUCUGCUGUGACCGAGAUAAAUAUCUCUUCUGCUCGUUUUCAGCUGUUUUAAAUAUGAUCUUUCGUUCCAAAGACAUUUGUGCGUCUUUGUAAAUCAAAGACGGAGUGUAUGAAACUCUGGAAAUUGCGGAAGUGAUGUGAAGUGGACGUAAACGCUGACUGGACUUUUCCUCCAGGCUGAGGUUGUCGUGAUUCGCACUUUCAAGACGUAUAACUGAAGAGAAUGUACGAAAAUCAUUGUUACCACCUCCACCAACGCUCAACGUCCCUGUUGCUCAUUAUUUUUAUAUUUGUUAAGUUUUAAAUACAGUCACAGUUUGUUUUGUGUUAAGCAGUAAUAAAUGACACCAAGAUAUCAAUUAAAUGUCUUUUACUUUGGAGAACCAUGCGUCUCACAUGGAAAAGACAUCCGACAAUAGACCACUUCUUUAUUGCACAGCAGAAGAAAAGGAGAAGUUGUGAGGGAUACACUUUUGCUAAUCAUUGUUAUACAAGCCAACAAACACCAAGAGCGACUUUCAUUGUUCUUUUUGUUAAAUCUUUUGGCUCCUGUGAUGUUUGAUUGUAAGCACUCAUUGCCUGGGGAAUCAUUUUAUUGCGUCACCUUAUUGAAUUUGGUGACCCUGCUUUGGCUUAUAAAGCUGCCAAAUAAAAUAAGUUUCUUCCACCUCAUUACUCCUCUUAUAACAUAAUUAACCCCACUCAGCUGUCCUCACCAGCAGAUGACAUAACUGUCUCAUAUAUACUCAGAUGUGAACAUUAAUUGGUUCCUCAAGCCUUGGUCAACAGACAGGUGAGAGCCUUCCACAGUCUUGCCUACCUCAUGUCUAGGUUACACAGACCAGCUAGCUUUAUUUGGUCCCCUCAGUUUUUAAUGAAGUACUAAACUGUCCCCAUUUUUACAAGCAUAUUAGCUUCAUUUUGAAAUGUUUGUACUUAAUUAUAACGUUAGUUGUUUUCUAUUAUUCAGAGCUGAUUUAGCCAGAUAAAUGCAAAGGGUUGUGUCAGGAACCCAGGAAGAAAGUCUUUAUGCAGAUCAGGAUAAUUCCACAACAAAGUGGCCAAAGCUCGGAUUGAGGUUAAUGAUCCGGUGUGGUGACCCCCUUAAAGAAAGCAGCUUAAUGAACAAUAUGAAGCUACUGAGUACAAAUCAGUGCAGCUCGGUUUUAUUUCUACUUCUCAUUUAAAUGCUUUAAUAUAAUAAAA